rnacentral:rRNA from 1 species
UACGAAGGGGGGCUAGCGUUGCUCGGAAUCACUGGGCGUAAAGCGCACGUAGGUGGGUCGUUAAGUCGGGGGGUGAAAUCCUGGAGCUCAACUCCAGAACUGCCUUCGAUACUGAGAGUCUCGAGUCCGAGAGAGGUGAGUGGAACUGCGAGUGUAGAGGUGAAAUUCGUAGAUAUUCGCAAGAACACCAGUGGCGAAGGCGGCUCACUGGCUCGGUACUGACGCUGAGGUGCGAAAGCGUGGGGGAGCAAACAGG